GCCGUUCAUCAAGCCUGAGAGGUGACGCAUAGCCGAAUGAGGCGAAUUCAGUGAUCCUAUGCUGCCGAGAAAAGCCUCUAGCGAGCUUUCACACGGCCCGUACCCCAAACCGACACAGGUGGUCAGGUAGAGAAUACUAAGGCGAUCGAGAUAACUAUGGUUAAGGAACUCGGCAAAAUGCCCCCGUAACUUCGGGAGAAGGGGGGCCUCGUCCGGUGAUCACUCUUGCAGUGUGAGCUGGGUGGGGCCGCAGAGACCAGUGAGAAGCGACUGUUUACUAAAAACACAGGUCCGUGCGAAGUCGUAAGACGAUGUAUACGGACUGACGCCUGCCCGGUGCUGGAAGGUUAAGAGGACCGGUUAGCCAGCAAUGGCGAAGCUGAGAAUUUAAGCCCCAGUAAACGGCGGUGGUAACUAUAACCAUCCUAAGGUAGCGAAAUUCCUUGUCGGGUAAGUUCCGACCUGCACGAAUGGCGUAACGACUUCUCAGCUGUCUCAACCAUAGACUCGGCGAAAUUGCAUUACGAGUAAAGAUGCUCGUUACGCGCGGCAGGACGAAAAGACCCCGGGACCUUCACUACAGCUUGGUAUUGGUGUUCGGUUCGGUUUGUGUAGGAUAGGUGGGAGACUGUGAAGCGCUCACGCCAGUGAGUGUGGAGUCGUUGUUGAAAUACCACUCUGAUCGUAUUGGACCUCUAACCUCGGACCAUGAUCUGGUUCAGGGACAGUGCCUGGUGGGUAGUUUAACUGGGGCGGUUGCCUCCCAAAAUGUAACGGAGGCGCCCAAAGGUUCCCUCAGCCUGGUUGGCAAUCAGGUGUCGAGUGCAAGUGCACAAGGGAGCUUGACUGUGAGACUGACAGGUCGAGCAGGGACGAAAGUCGGGACUAGUGAUCCGGCACCGGCAAGUGGAAGCGGUGUCGCUCAACGGAUAAAAGGUACCCCGGGGAUAACAGGCUGAUCUUCCCCAAGAGUCCAUAUCGACGGGAUGGUUUGGCACCUCGAUGUCGGCUCGUCGCAUCCUGGGGCUGGAGUAGGUCCCAAGGGUUGGGCUGUUCGCCCAUUAAAGCGGCACGCGAGCUGGGUUUAGAACGUCGUGAGACAGUUCGGUCUCUAUCCGCCGCGCGCGUAAGAAACUUGAGGAAGGCUGUCCCUAGUACGAGAGGACCGGGACGGACGAACCUCUGGUGUGCCAGUUGUUCCACCAGGAGCACCGCUGGUUAGCUACGUUCGGAAGGGAUAACCGCUGAAAGCAUCUAAGCGGGAAGCCUGUUCCAAGAUGAGGUUUCUCACCCCCUCGAGGGGGUAAGGCCCCCGGCAGACCACCGGGUUGAUAGGCCAGAACUGGAAGUCCGGUAACGGAUGCAGGUGACUGGUACUAAUAGGCCGAGGACUUACCACA
rnacentral:ncRNA from 1 species